UACGAAGGGGGCUAGCGUUGCUCGGAAUCACUGGGCGUAAAGCGCAUGUAGGCGGACUUUUAAGUCGGAGGUGAAAUCCUGGAGCUCAACUCCAGAACUGCCUUCGAUACUGAGAGUCUUCGAGUUCGGGAGAGGUGAGUGGAACUGCGAGUGUAGAGGUGAAAUUCGUAGAUAUUCGCAAGAACACCAGUGGCGAAGGCGGCUCACUGGCCCGAUACUGACGCUGAGGUGCGAAAGCGUGGGGAGCAAACAGG
rnacentral:rRNA from 1 species